UAUGUAUAUAUUAGAUUAUCAUUCCCCCUUCACUAGCUUCUGUCUUUCUCUACGCCCCCAAAAUUCUACUUUAUAAUACACCUAUUUUACAUUUUUCAUGGAGUUCACAUUAGUGGUAACACAACAUCUCUCCUUUUAUGUCUGGCUUAAUAGAAGUCAUUUUAAUCUAUUUUUCAGGUCCUGUAAGAGACCUUUGUAAGAGUAUACAAGUAAACAUUUACUAGCCCAUUCUGCCUUGAGCUUUUUAAAAAAACGCGUAAGGGAUUCUUAUUUAAAAGGUCAAGGAUGAAGCCUUCGCAUCUGCAUUUUUAACAAGCUCCUCAUCUAAUCUGAUGUGAUUCUCAUUUACAUACAGAGUUGAAAACCCUGGUAUACAGAUCAUAUCCAAGGAUCAGUGGAAUAAAGAACAAUCUUACCAAUAUAUUUCAGGUUUCCAAAACAAAUUUGGACAAAACUAUGUAGUUUAAAAUGCGCCUAAAGAGGUUUUUGAGGCUGUGACCUUGGGAAAGUCAGUGAAUCAAUCUGGAUUUCACUUCACCACCUACAAAUUGGGAAGAGCUUUCUGCUGCCUCUUUAAUUCACUUGGAUAAAUCAGUUUCAAGUUGUGAACCUACGCUGAGCAAAAUGUAUGAAAGAAAUACAAAAUGGUAUAGUAACUAACUGAAAUAUCAGUUCUCCACGGUGUACCAUGUACUCAGAGCUCAAAGAAGACACAACCUAUAUAGACUGUGAAACACCAAUCUUCUGGGAAUCUAGUCACCUGGCUCAGCAAGCAUUUAUUGCAGUUUUGAAAUUCUUCAGCCGGGUUGAACCUCUAAGGGUUGAUGAAAGUGCUGUUUGUUUGUUGUAGGUGGAUUGCAGAAGAUCCCCACAAUUUUUCACCCAACAAUGAGCUAACAAAAGGCACAAGAAAGCAAAGUAGACAGAAACUUACUUAUUUAACUAAUAAUACUCUAUGCUUCUUUAUGUUGUGGGAAACGUAAUUUUUAGUUUCCCCUAUAUAUUUUGUAAAUCCUUCUUGCUUCUGGGGUUUGCCCUAUCCAUUAACCAAAUACCAUUACAAUCAGUACACAAAGCAUACUAAGUGGAUUAAAUGUCAUCUCUGCUUCCCGGCAGUUUUUAAAGCUAAGUCAGAAAAUGUGGAUUGCUUACAACACUGAACAAAGGUACAUGCAGAGUGUGAGGGAGGGAGAUUUUAAGAUCCGUCCUGACAACCCUAGAAUGCUGAGAAAUAGUACUAUGUCAAAGGCUCAAAGGAUACUCAAAAUUGUUAACUGAUAGCAUUAAACCCUGUGGUGACCUUGAAAGCUUGAGUUCAUGUUUUCAGGCGUUAAAUCAGUGUGAGGACUGCUAAGCCAACACACUUCGUUCUUAGUAUCAAAAGGCUCCAGGGAGCUUUUAGCUGAAUUUCCUCUUGACGCAUGUAUUUUAUCUUGCAACUUGCUUGGCACUCGUAUCAUGAAGAAAUCAUCAAGAACUAGCUCAGAGUGCUCUACGUCUGGAGCAAAGGCUUUUCCUUUAAGCCUUCAGAGCACUGUCAGAAAAUUAAAGCCACAGGGUUAACCCAUAACAUAAAUUGUCAUGGUGAAGAUAGGAACUUCUUACCAUCUGGGAUAUGCAGUAUCAGCCAGUUCUGUUCUGCACAGAAAUGAAUAGCAUGCCAGAAUGAGGGUUUUUGCUCAUCCCUUCUCUCCAUCUAAAAUACUUGUUGUUAAAGAAAACAUCACAAGAAGGGAAACUUCUGUUAACAGCAAGCACUCCUGUAUCUAUUUUCCCCAUCUGAUGGGGAACGCAUUAGCCAGAGGGUCCAGACAGGCAGGAAAGGACACAGAGAACAUACUGUACAGGUGGAUGAGCAAAAUUGGGAUUUUUCAGGUAAUGCAGAAGCUCUAGGGCUGGUUUCUUACCAUCAGGGAAGCUUCACUGAACAUCUUCAUCUAAUAAAAAGGAGAAAGAGGAAAGAGAGGGAGAGGGUAGGGUGUGGUAUUCACUGAGCCUAAUACAGCAACCACAGGCACCAAAUUGCAUGUCUUUAGUUUAUGCAGUUUGGAGAAGUUGGGUUGAUAUUUAAUUCAAAAAUCUACCCCACGUAAUUUAACUGAAGUCGGAAUACAUUACCCUAUACCAAGUAACAUAGUCAGCUUUUGAUUAUUCUUGUGAAUGAAGCACAGAUAUACUAGUUAAUCAGAAUCUAUAAAUAACUCAGACAUCUCAUAAUAUAAGUGUGCCACAUUUAGGGUUGAGGUAAAUAUUUUAAGCAUGUAAAGCACUUAAAGUACCUGACACAUGGCAAGCAUUCAAUAAGCGUUAAUUCUUUUAAAUUUAAUUUUAGUUAAUUCUUAUUCUAACCAUCUAGACUUCUCUAAAACUAUAUAUAAGGCAGCUCAGGAGCUGGUGUGGUCAGCUCUCCCACAACUGAUGGUAUGUCUUAUACCAUCAGCAAACUGACAUCAGUUUAUGUGUUCAUUUCCUUUUUAUGACUAGAGUACUUUCAUGGAAAAUUUUUGGAAGCACUGAUAUGUGUGAAAGCGAUGUGCAAAUGAAUUUGCAAAUAAAUAUCUAAACACAUACUGUUCACAAGUACAUUAGAUAAGAUUUUAAAUCGUGUAUUUUUGAAAGGAAUCUCAAGAAAACAAUUGGAUUGGAGAUGUAACAGAUAGGUCAGUGCAAACAAUAUAAAGUGCAACCUUUGAAAACACAGAUAUUAAAACAGAAAUUCCAGAUUAGGUAAUGAUGAUAUUACAAUAAAUAAACAAUGGCGAGGGCUCUGGCCUUCACUUACAUGGAUAUUAUGAAAGAAUGAAUGAAUAAUUUCCUCUAGAGACUGGUAGUUAAACCUGUCUGAAAGCAACUUUAAAUAGUUAAUUAAAAAUAGGCCCUCCCAAUCCUGAAGCUAGAGAUUCUACUGUGAAGUCUUGGAACAAUUUAAAAUGCUAUUACAGAUGAUUCCCUCUGGAUGUGUCCUAACUAUUUCUAAUCUCAAAAAAUGCUUUAUGACAAGGCUGUCUAUGUCUCUAAUCUAGAAUUAGCUCUCAUAUUGGUGUCUCAUCUGAUUUCCUUAAAGCAGAGUGAAGAAAUGACAUCUUCUGGCUCCUAAGCUAAAAAAUCACCUGAACAAAUUUGAUAAUUCCUUAAGAAGGAAUAAUUUCUGAGGAUGAAAAUAAUUCAGCAGGAGCUAUAAGAACCAAUGAUGCCAAUAAAAUUCAAAUUUCAUCUUCUAUGGUUUUCUACUCACUCAAUCCCAUCCCUCUGCUAUCAACAGUCUGUGUUCUGGGCUCCCCACAAUUCCCUGUUUUGAGCACCUGCAUUAAAAAGCGGGGAGGCAGGCCAUGGGGAAAUACAGUCUUCAAAUCCUGGAAGGGGAUGUUGUAGUGUUGACCUUCAUGCUGCUCCCAAUGCUUGGCCUAUGAAAUCAAAAUGCAAACAGGUAAUGGCGACUCACACAAAGUGACAAAAACUUUGCAAAAGUAUAUCGGCCUUAUUAGACCGUGCUGGAGAAACACUCAUCUACCAGAGCUGGAAAAGAUAUCUUUCAUUUCUUAUCUUAGACAAAAAUGCUGGUGGUUGUCCCCAAAUCCACGGUGUGUAUAUGAAGCUACUGGUGGCUUGAAUGAUGAAGCCAGUUGCUCAGCAACUAGAUGUGGGAAUGCCAGAGACAAUUCCUGCCAUCUGGAUUCUUCUAUAGUGUAUACAGAGAUGCUCCAGUCAUGUGACAAGAUCAUCUGCAUGCUGCUGUUUCCAUAGAAACCCCAGAGGAAGUGGCAGAUAAAGGGACUACAAUUUCAGAGGAAGCUGAAAGAUAUUUCAAUGACCUCAUUCAUUUAUUCCAUUCCAUUUUAUGCUUGUGAAAAUAGGUAAGCACUAGAGACAUAAAUAAAACAGACCCUGCUGA